UACGGGGGGGGCAAGCGUUGGUUCGGAAUUACUGGGCGUAAAGGGCUCGUAGGCGGCCCUCUCAGUCGGAUGUGAAAUCCCCAGGCUCAACUUGGGAACGGCAUCCGAUACUGGAGGGCUUGAAUUCGGGAGAGGGAUGCAGAAUUCCAGGUGUAGCGGUGAAAUGCGUAGAUAUCUGGAGGAAUACCGGUGGCGAAGGCGGCAUCCUGGACCGAGAUUGACGCUGAGGAGCGAAAGCUAGGGGAGCAAACGGG
rnacentral:rRNA from 1 species